AUAUCAAUAAGCGGAGGAAAAGAAACUAACAAGGAUUCCCCUAGUAACGGCGAGUGAAGCGGGAUGAGCUCAAAUUUAAAAUCUGGCUGGUUUACUAGUCCGAGUUGUAGUUUAAAGAAGCGUUUUCGGUGGCAGUCUCGGUAUAAAUCCUUUGGAAUAGGGUAUCAUAGAGGGUGAGAAUCCCGUCUUUGACUGAGAAUAUGCUACUAUGUGAUACGUUUUCAAAGAGUCGAGUUGUUUGGGAAUGCAGCUCAAAAUGGGUGGUAAAUUUCAUCUAAAGCUAAAUAUUGGCGAGAGACCGAUAGCGAACAAGUACCGUGAGGGAAAGAUGAAAAGAACUUUGAAAAGAGAGUUAAACAGUGC
rnacentral:rRNA from 1 species